ensembl:lincRNA
GCCUCCUGGACACUCUGCCCAUUGGCCACCUUCUCAGCAUUGCUCUGUGCCCUGGAGCCUCUUGGAUCUGCAGCUGGGGCUAGAAAUGGCUCCCCUGGCUUUCACCUUUGGCUGUGGCUCACCCAGCAAAUGACUCUCGGCCUCCACCUUCCUGUUUCAUACACCAGAACUGUGGCAUUCUCCAUUAUUGGUGGAUUCCAUGGAAGAUGGAGGCCAGGAUGAGGGGCGGUCUUCCUGCUGCUGCUAUCUGGACAUGAGGACAAGGUCACAUGACCCUGGCCCAACCAACAGACUGUCACACCCAUGACUUUGGAUGCUGAUGAAGAGAGUCAAAGAGAUGUAGAAACAAGUGCUAUGGCACUCUCGCUGUCCAGCGCAACACUGUCCAGAGAAUUUCACACUGUCAUCCCUCACCUCACACCCUUCCCUCUGUCUGCCUUUGCACUGGACCAAUGGGAUGGGACAGAGAAUAAACCAGAGCACAAGAUGAACCACCAGAAGGAGGUGUCAAGGAUUCAGUCCUUGUUCAGUUCAGCUUCUACAAAGGUAUAGUAGUUGAACAGCAGAGGACAAAAAGCAGGAAAAAAUUUGAAAGAUUAUUAUGAUCUUUUCCUCUCCUGAGACCAAAAAGUAAAAAUUUUAUAUGUUUAUACAUCCAUCUGUUCAUGAAAUAAACUUAACUUUUUAAUAUAAUCUUUGAGGAUCUUGUAACUUAGCCAAAUACCUCUAAGAGAACUGUGUUUUUGAUGUUUUGUUUGUUUAUUGUUUGCUUCAGACACACGUUUUAUGCAUUUCUCAGUACAUCACAGACACGAUGUCUGCCUGAGUCAUGUGAUCUUCUUGAGUACCUGCUAGACCCCACAGACUGGUUCCAAUUCCACCACUCUCUUUUCCAUGCAGGAAAAUGUAGGAGACUACAACAGAGACAGAAAGGGAGAGAAAGCUAUAACAUAACUUUAAAUCUCAUCUAAAUGUGCAGGUAAAUCAUUUAUAUACUUUCAAGGCUCAUUAAUUAUUCAUAACAGAUUUCACAAAGAACUUUCAAAUACUAGGUGAUAUCUCCACUGAAAACUGUAACCGAGGUGGCAAGAAUGUAUUGAAUACUUUCUGGGACUGUAGGGUUCUUUCACUUUUUAGACUUCUUAUUUUACUUUGGACUCCAUGAUUUUGUUUGUCUAACUAGCUCAGUGGUUUUCCUGCCAUAGCACACUUUGGAAUUAUCUGGAGAGCCUGUUAAGCCUCUGACUGAUGGGUUUUGUUCUGAGUUCUGACUCAGUGAGCCUCAGGCAUCCUGAGAAUCUAAAUUUGCUACAAGUGCCAAGGUGCUAGUGCUGCUGCUGACCCACAAAACACAAGAAUCAUUGAUGUGCUCAUCCAUUAAUCCAUUCAAAAACAUUUAUUAAAAUAACAGCCAACCACGUUCUGGACACCAAAACACUGAACAUUAUUUUAUAAGAGGUAAUGUCUACUGAGUACCUUGGUAGCAGCUCUGUUAUAUGAUUUUUCUUUCUUUCUUUCCUUCUUUUUAAAUUUAUUUUGGCAGUAAUGAGGAUUGAAUCCAUGGCCUUUGCUCUGAGCUGCAACCCUAGCUGUUGGUUCAUUUGUUUGUUUAUUUUGAGAAAAAUUGUCACUGAAGAACCAGAGUGUAAUAGGGGCAACUAGACCAGUGUUUAUGGAUAGGUUGGAAAGACAGGCUUUAAUAGGUAAAGGAAUACAAUUAGAGAUCAAGUCCAGAAGGGAGAAGGCUCAGAACCACUUAGGUAAAAAGCAGGUGCCCCCCCCCCCAUUUUAAAACCAAGGGUCUUGGUGAGACACAAAACUGCACAGUGUACACCGGGGAAGUGGAAGGGGAGGGAGAAUCUUAAAAAAGAUGGCAGAAGAUAUUGUUAAUAGUGUAUCAGGAUUUAAAACCCACAUUACUUGCACUAAUCUGCUUAGGUAGAUUUUAUUCUGUCCCAGUUUGUCUACUUGCAUUAGAUUUGAGGGCACAGACAGCUAUCCCAAAAACAUCAGGAUAUAGCACAGUAAUCAUCUUUAAUUUCCUAUUAACUUAAUCAGGAGCCCUGUAUGACUUAUACUGUUUUAUCAUGACUGAUCUUAGUUAAAUCUGGUUUGUUUGAUAUCGACAGAUUUUAUUCAAAACUGAUAUAUUGAUAGUAUCAAGUCUGAGAGUAUAGGCAACUACACUGAAGAGGACAAGACUCCACAAUACACAUUCUAGUUUGAUUACUGCCUGUUUUGGAAGUUUUAUAUUAUGUACAAAGUUGUGUUUUUAUUACUACUGCUAUGUGCUGGUAUAUUCAAUUAUACUAUGUCUGAUGAUAUAGCCAAUUAUAUUGAAGAUAACAAGAGACAACACAGGAACUAUGGUAGAACUCCUUGUACAACAGUCUUAUAUGUCUUUUUCAUUUCAUGUGUUUAUAGGAAUAUGUUUUGUUUUGUCUUGCUUUGUUUUGUUUCUCCCUCUAUUAUAAAAGGAUAGAAAUACAUGUUAAGACUCAUGCAUUUGUAGAAUCUAUAAACAGUUUAUGAGAACUGAUCUUAUGACACAUGAUGAAAUGAACAAAUACUUUAAAGAAAAAUAGACACUAAAAUACCCAGUGCUGAUCCUGGAGUGUCAUAAUGUAAAACCCAGCAAUAGUAUUAUUCUUUGUUCACAGUGAUAUUAGCCUGCUUGGAUUUAUUCAAUCUCACCAUGAUUGAAGAUAUGGAUAACUGCAUGUAUAUUUAAGUGUAUAGGAUUGAUAAGCAUAUUUCUAAGUUUUCGUUGGAUAGUUGAACAGAACUGGUUGCAGCCUCACUGAAUCCCCACUUUAUAUGCUCCACUUUAGUAUCUUGAACAACUAUUUGUAAGAGGACAAUCUGUAAUCAUCAACUAGUGAUUUCUUACUGUUUAUUUUUUUCUUUGAAAGUAUGUAUUAUUUCUACCUGUUUUCUGUUUUGUUUAGUCUUUUUUUAAAUAAAUUUUUUUUUAAAAAGGCAAUAUAAUACUCAGUGCUGAUCCCGGAGUGUCAUGAUAUGAAAUCCAGCAAUACUAUUAUUCUUUGUUCAGAAUGACUUUAGCCUGCUUUAGUUUGUUUAAUCUCAACAUAAAUGAAGAUAUGGAUAACUGCAUGUAUGUUUAAGUGCAUAGGAUUGACAAUCAUGUUACUAAGUUUUUGUUGCAUAGUUGAACAGAACUAUUUGCAUUCUCACUGUUUGAAUUCGCACUUUGCAUGUUCUACUUUGUAUCUUGAAUAACUAUUUGUUAAAGGACAGUAUGUAAAUAUCAACUAGUGAUGUCUUACUUUUAUUUUUUCUCUGAACGUACGUAUUAUUUCUAUCCAUUUUCUGUUUUGUUUAGUCUUUCUUUAAAUGCAAUUUAAAAAAAAAAAAGAAAAAUUGUCACUGAUUUGCUAAAUUGCCCAUGCUGCGCUCUAACUUAUUCUCCUGUCUCAGCCUCUCAAAGACUAGAAUUUUAAAGAUGAAAGUAACACAGCUUAAAGAGUAUAAUCAACCUG